CAGUACCAAGGUGCGUGAAGCCAUUGCCAGCUGCCUCCCUAAUCACAACUUGCAAGUUUUAGUACCUGUUUUGGAAAGAUUUGUGGCAUUUCAUCUGACACUAAACAUGAUAUCACCGGAAACACAUUCGGCUGUUGUCAAAGUAAUUGAAACUUGUAAAGCACCUUAGAGAAUGCAGAGAUCCUGUACAGUGCUAUUGAUCUCUCGCUCGACCUGGAAUUUCUUUUCGGUAAUGAUGCUUUGAGGAAAUGGGGUUGGGUUGGCUGCACAACCUCGGGGACUAGCAAAGAUCUGUAUUCUAAUUUGUUUGACCAGUUUCUUUUUUUUUUUCCCCUACAUUAUUUCCAUCCCUGUUUGGGUUACGGUGCAUUCCAUCUCCAUGCCCAGACCAGUGAAUGUACGAUGGUAGUAUAGGCAAGUGCAGUGUUCGUGCUUGGGUUCCUGUCGAAAUUGAAUCAAAUGAAUUUGUUGGCAGAUGUAGCUUUGAGUUAAAUGUUAUUCAACACUUCUUUGGUUUCCCUCUACGGUUGCCAGCAAAGGUAAUUCUAAAAUCUAUAUUCAGCAGAGUAUAAUUUUACAUCAAAA